rnacentral:rRNA from 1 species
UACCAGACUCCUACGGGAGGCAGCAGUGAGGAAUAUUGGUCAAUGGGAGGAAUCCUGAACCAGCCAUGCCGCGUGCAGGACGACGGCUCUACGAGUUGUAAACUGCUUUUGUACCGGGGUAAAAUGCCUUACGAGUAGGGUUUUGAAAGUACGGUACGAAUAAGGAUCGGCUAACUCCGUGCCAGCAGCCGCGGUAAUACGGAGGAUCCGAGCGUUAUCCGGAUUCAUUGGGUUUAAAGGGUGCGUAGGUUGUUUUAUAAGUUAGCGGUGAAAUACCGAUGCUCAACAUCGGGGCUGCCGCUAAUACUGUAGGACUAGAGAUCGGAUGCAGCAGGCGGAAUGUGUAGUGUAGCGGUGAAAUGCUUAGAGAUCAUACAGAACACCGAUUGCGAAGGCAGCUUACCAAUCUAUAUCUGACGUUGAGGCACGAAAGCGUGGGGAGCAAACAGGAUUAGAUACCCUUGUAC